rnacentral:rRNA from 1 species
AAAUUGAAGAGUUUGAUCAUGGCUCAGAUUGAACGCUGGCGGCAGGCCUAACACAUGCAAGUCGAACGGUAACAGGAAGCAGCUUGCUGCUUUGCUGACGAGUGGCGGACGGGUGAGUAAUGUCUGGGAAACUGCCUGAUGGAGGGGGAUAACUACUGGAAACGGUGGCUAAUACCGCAUAACGUCGCAAGACCAAAGAGGGGGACCUUCGGGCCUCUUGCCAUCAGAUGUGCCCAGAUGGGAUUAGCUAGUUGGUGAGGUAACGGCUCACCAAGGCGACGAUCCCUAGCUGGUCUGAGAGGAUGACCAGCCACACUGGAACUGAGACACGGUCCAGACUCCUACGGGAGGCAGCAGUGGGGAAUAUUGCACAAUGGGCGCAAGCCUGAUGCAGCCAUGCCGCGUGUAUGAAGAAGGCCUUCGGGUUGUAAAGUACUUUCAGCGGGGAGGAAGGUGUUGUGGUUAAUAACCGCAGCAAUUGACGUUACCCGCAGAAGAAGCACCGGCUAACUCCGUGCCAGCAGCCGCGGUAAUACGGAGGGUGCAAGCGUUAAUCGGAAUUACUGGGCGUAAAGCGCACGCAGGCGGUCUGUCAAGUCGGAUGUGAAAUCCCCGGGCUCAACCUGGGAACUGCAUUCGAAACUGGCAGGCUUGAGUCUUGUAGAGGGGGGUAGAAUUCCAGGUGUAGCGGUGAAAUGCGUAGAGAUCUGGAGGAAUACCGGUGGCGAAGGCGGCCCCCUGGACAAAGACUGACGCUCAGGUGCGAAAGCGUGGGGAGCAAACAGGAUUAGAUACCCUGGUAGUCCACGCCGUAAACGAUGUCUACUUGGAGGUUGUGCCCUUGAGGCGUGGCUUCCGGAGCUAACGCGUUAAGUAGACCGCCUGGGGAGUACGGCCGCAAGGUUAAAACUCAAAUGAAUUGACGGGGGCCCGCACAAGCGGUGGAGCAUGUGGUUUAAUUCGAUGCAACGCGAAGAACCUUACCUGGUCUUGACAUCCACAGAAGAAUCCAGAGAUGGAUUUGUGCCUUCGGGAACUGUGAGACAGGUGCUGCAUGGCUGUCGUCAGCUCGUGUUGUGAAAUGUUGGGUUAAGUCCCGCAACGAGCGCAACCCUUAUCCUUUGUUGCCAGCGGUUAGGCCGGGAACUCAAAGGAGACUGCCAGUGAUAAACUGGAGGAAGGUGGGGAUGACGUCAAGUCAUCAUGGCCCUUACGACCAGGGCUACACACGUGCUACAAUGGCGCAUACAAAGAGAAGCGACCUCGCGAGAGCAAGCGGACCUCAUAAAGUGCGUCGUAGUCCGGAUUGGAGUCUGCAACUCGACUCCAUGAAGUCGGAAUCGCUAGUAAUCGUGGAUCAGAAUGCCACGGUGAAUACGUUCCCGGGCCUUGUACACACCGCCCGUCACACCAUGGGAGUGGGUUGCAAAAGAAGUAGGUAGCUUAACCUUCGGGAGGGCGCUUACCACUUUGUGAUUCAUGACUGGGGUGAAGUCGUAACAAGGUAACCGUAGGGGAACCUGCGGUUGGAUCACCUCCUUACCUUAAAGAA